GUUGUACUGUAAAAACAGUAAAUGUAUGUAUCCCGAAAUGAUGUAACACUAAGCAGAACUGUGGUAAACCUUGUUAUAAAUAUGUUCAGCUAUGUAUGAAAUCUCAUAUAUAGUUGUCCUUUAAAAUUUUCACUACUGGAGGUCAUUUGUUCUGUGUUAGUGUGGAUGGUAGUGCCAGCUUUUCAGUGGCAAGUAGUUCUUGUCCUAAAGGGGUUACAGUAACUUUACCUUAAGACCCAAAGAUACAAAUUGGUUUUCACAUGAAACAUACCAUACGAUGCACUGCACUUACACUGAAAAUGUAGCUAGUAGGCUUUGAUCUGCUAAUUGAUGUUUGUGCUUUGGUUAAAUGUCCCUUACAAGCUGCAAUGGAAAAUUAUACAAAUAUGGGCCUACUAAAGUCGGCAAGUUGUUUUAUCUGUCAACUGUUCUAUUUUUUUAGUAUGAUAAACUGACUGUUUUCCAUAAGCCUUGAUUAUACUCCUUUGUGGAUAUGAACACAGACAGCUGGAGACAGUACAGCCGAAUAGUCAUUCUUGUUAUACUUAUCUGAAGUUUGCCGCCUGGGGCGCGUGCGUAGUUGGUGUAUUGUAAUGUAAAGUCUCCAAAUUAGUCUGUGUGGGUCACAAAACAUGGCAGGCAUGUGGAUAGCCACAUGAAUCCUCAACCUCACUGUCUGCUGAAAAAUUUGACAUCAUUUGGACCCAAGUGGACCCACGUUGAAAGUAUAAUCAAGGCCUUAGAGGGUUGAUAGCUCUUUGCUCAGACAAGUAAGUCAUGUUUUCCUGGGAUUUAGACAUUACCAGUAUAUAAUCCAGUCUUGUAAACACCAUAACUGUUCAAAUGUUCAUACACUAGAAAGAAAAAACUGGCUUACUGUAUGUAUUGUACUAUGUAAAGUAAAAUUUAGACACUCAAUUACUAUAAGAGGACUUUUCAAGCCUGUUAUUUUUAAUAAAGUGUUGAUGUAGAAAUAUUUAGAAAUGUUGUAAACCACAUACACAAUGCUCCUUUUGUAAAGACAUAUGCUACUAUUAAAAUUUAUGUACUAAUG
ensembl:lncRNA